rnacentral:rRNA from 1 species
UACGGGGGGAGCAAGCGUUGUUCGGAAUUACUGGGCGUAAAGGGCGCGUAGGCGGCCCGCUAAGUCGAACGUGAAAUCCCCGGGCUCAACCCGGGAACUGCGUCCGAUACUGGCAGGCUUGAAUCCGGGAGAGGGAUGCGGAAUUCCAGGUGUAGCGGUGAAAUGCGUAGAUAUCUGGAGGAACACCGGUGGCGAAGGCGGCAUCCUGGACCGGCAUUGACGCUGAGGCGCGAAAGCCAGGGGAGCAAACAGG